CUUGUUAGAAGGGCCAGGUACACCCCAGAAGACUUUCCUGUGAAAGCCAAGGCUGCCAGGAUACGUGUGGAGAAAGGAUCAGGAAAUCUUCAUCGGGAUGCAGACGGUGCCCUGACAACCCAGACCCUCAGGAGGAAGAACUCGAGUUGGAGGAGGAAGAGUAAGGCAGGAGGAGGAAAGGAUGUAAAGGAAGAGAGAGCAUGGAGACUGUGAGGGUUUUUGGAAUAGCUUUGGGUUUUAUUUGUUGGAAACUGCUCCUUUGUCAAACAAAGAGUGUGGGGAAGGUCAGGCUCGAUAAAUCUCCCCAGUUUGAAAGCAGGCAUCCAGAAACACCCUGGAAUGUCCAUUCCUGUGAUUUGUAAGCAUCCAAAACAGUGAAGAGUUGGUUCAAAAGACUUUUUGCCUAGGAAAUGUGAAUUUGCAGUGCAACUUCUGAAGACAAAAAAAUGAAGCAAACCCUGAUGACUGAAUCCAGUCAGGAUUUCUGGUGGGGUGGGUUUGGCUCCUAUUCUUUCCUUGCAGCUCUUCCUGGCCACCUCUGUCUUUGCAGGGAGGACAACAGUCCUUUUUGUGUGAACAAAGCUCUUUCCUAUCAUUUCUAGCAAGAAAGUGUCUGAAAUGCAGAACCCUGAGAAGGGGAUUCAGGAAACCGGGAAUUCAAUCCUAUUGAAAACUCAGUCUUGCCCAAAUUCUGGUUUUGGGAGUGCUGUCACUGACCCCCAACCCUGAUUUUCCAGCAUGGCUCCAGCCCUGGGAUGUAGGGAACACCCUCAGCCUGGUAUUGACAUGAGGCAAUCCAGAGCCCGUCACAAGGAUAUCAGUGCCAGAGCAGCACACAGGGAUGAUGGAUGCAUCCAUAGGAGUGGCUCUUGUGUUGUGGAGAGAUGGGAGGACGAGCUGGAUGACAGACAUACCUGCAAACAUGGCCACCAUCCCAAUUCUGGCCCAGGGAGAGCUGCAGGGUGUGAGAAAUGGGAAUGGAUGGAAGGGGUGUCAACACAGCGGGACCAGCUAGGGUUUGCUGCAUGGAGAGACCUCAGGUGUUGAAAAGCCAGAGAAUCAAUGAAGGAGGAGCUCCAGUGAAGAUUGGUGAAGAUCUGCCUCCCACUGGGAUUUGCUGAUUCAGACUUCACUGGCUAAUUAUGCUGCCCUGUUCCUAGUGACCUGCGAGACUCAGCCGAAGCCUUGCCUCUGAGGUCAGCAAAGCUAAUUGUACUGAAUGUCCAGAGAGAGCAUCUACAUGGCUCUUCUCAGAGUGGCCUUUUUCCACACCUCUGGAAAAACACAAGCAGAAAGGAAUUACCCUCUCCUCUGAGCCUGGUGGGACCUGCUGUUCCAGUCCUGCCUGAGCUGUGCCUGGGGGAAGAUGUUCCUUCAGUGGAGGGAGAGCUGCUGGGCUCCUAAAAUUUUCCUGCCCUGGUGAGAGACCCCCAAACCUAUUUUUAUCUGGUUGUACAGCUUUGUCUCCACAUUAUCAAUGUGCUCAGCGUGCAGAGUGAAAUUAAUACAGAAGCCACAUUUACCUUAGGAAUAUUUGAGCAAGAUUUUAAUGAAUAUUCAUUGGAAUUUUCAUGCCCUUACGUCUUGCUUGGCCCAUCAUGGCUGUAACUGGGCAGCUGGGUCAGCGCUUUCUGGGCAUCUCUUGCCAUGUCAGAAAUGCUGGAAAUGUCCCAAAAGAUAGCAUCCACCUCUGAUUUUCUCUGCAGCCUUUGAAGUUGUGGCUGUGAUGCAAAGCCUGAUGUUGGCAGCUGUGCUGUGAGAAGAAAGGAGCUGUGCCUGGGGUGCAGCCCCUGUCUCCCAUCCCAGCGGUGCUGCUUGGCUGGAGGAGAGGGGGUUUGUAGCCAUGAGAGGGAGGGUGUCCAACAUCCAGGGGCCAGCUCAGAGCUGCUUGGACUCUGCAAUUGUAAUAAAAGUAUGUGAGCUGACCUGUGGCCA
rnacentral:lncRNA from 1 species